rnacentral:rRNA from 1 species
UACAGAGGUCUCAAGCGUUGUUCGGAUUCAUUGGGCGUAAAGGGUGCGUAGGCGGCGCGGUAAGUCGGGUGUGAAAUCGUCGGAGCUUAACUCCGAAACUGCAUUCGAUACUGCCGUGCUUGAGGGACUGGGAGAAGGAGACUGGAAUUUACGGUGUAGCGGUGAAAUGCGUAGAUAUCGUAAGGAAGACCAGUGGCGGAAGGCGGGUCUCUGGACAGUUCCGUGAACGCU